rnacentral:rRNA from 1 species
UCCUACGGGAGGCAGCAGUGGGGAUUCUGCACAAUGGGCGCAAGCCUGAUGCAGCCAUGCCGCGUGUAUGAAGAAGGCCUUCGGGUUGUAAAGUACUUUCAGUCGUGAGGAAGGUGGUGUUGUUAAUAGCAGCAUCAUUUGACGUUAGCGACAGAAGAAGCACCGGCUAACUCCGUGCCAGCAGCCGCGGUAAUACGGAGGGUGCGAGCGUUAAUCGGAAUUACUGGGCGUAAAGCGCAUGCAGGUGGUGGAUUAAGUCAGAUGUGAAAGCCCGGGGCUCAACCUCGGAACCGCAUCUGAAACUGGUUCACUAGAGUACUGUAGAGGGGGGUAGAAUUUCAGGUGUAGCGGUGAAAUGCGUAGAGAUCUGAAGGAAUACCGGUGGCGAAGGCGGCCCCCUGGACAGAUACUGACACUCAGAUGCGAAAGCGUGGGGAGCAAACAGGAUUAGAUACCCUGGUAGUCCACGCCGUAAACGAUGUCUACUUGGAGGUUGUGGCCUUGAGCCGUGGCUUUCGGAGCUAACGCGUUAAGUAGACCGCCUGGGGAGUACGGUCGCAAGAUUAAAACUCAAAUGAAUUGACGGGGGCCCGCACAAGCGGUGGAGCAUGUGGUUUAAUUCGAUGCAACGCGAAGAACCUUACCUACUCUUGACAUCUACAGGAUCCUGCGGAGACGCGGGAGUGCCUUCGGGAACUGUAAGACAGGUGCUGCAUGGCUGUCGUCAGCUCGUGUUGUGAAAUGUUGGGUUAAGUCCCGCAACGAGCGCAACCCUUAUCCUUGUUUGCCAGCAAGUAAUGUUGGGAACUCCAGGGAGACUGCCGGUGAUAAACCGGAGGAAGGUGGGGACGACGUCAAGUCAUCAUGGCCCUUACGAGUAGGGCUACACACGUGCUACAAUGGCGCAUACAGAGGGCAGCAAGCUAGCGAUAGUGAGCGAAUCCCAAAAAGUGCGUCGUAGUCCGGAUUGGAGUCUGCAACUCGACUCCAUGAAGUCGGAAUCGCUAGUAAUCGUAGAUCAGAAUGCUACGGUGAAUACGUUCCCGGGCCUUGUACACACCGCCCGUCACACCAUGGGAGUGGGCUGCAAAGAACG